rnacentral:tRNA from 1 species
GGGGAGGCGGCGAAGAUGGAGAGUCGCGGCGGACUGUAAAUCCGUUGCCUGCAGGCUCAGAGAGUUCGAAUCUCUCCCUCCCCACCA